UAGGAACAGAGGAGAGGUUCCAGAGAACUCUGCCACAUGUGUCAAAGUGGUCAAGAGAGACAAAGUGAUGUCACCAAAGUCAACCAACUUGUAAGUCGCUAAAGGAUCUGUACUUAGUUUUUCAUAUCCAGCUUCCUUUCUUCUAGGAUGGCUUGAUCAGGAGGCUCUUCAGGUGUGGCUGCCAGCAGUACCAAACUUUUCCUUACAACUUAGCAACUCUAUUCCAGCAAAGUCCCAGGCUAGUCACAUGCCAUGCUAAUUUCUGAAUCUGUCACCAUGACUCUGUCCAAGUCUGGCUUCUGUCGAGCUCUGAAGCCAGAACGUGAAAUUGGCCCCAUGAAACCACAUGGCCCGAAGCAGAAAUGAUUAAAACCAUCUUGGCAGGACCAAGUCUUUGCAAAACCUAUCAAAUGGAUGGAUGGCUUCAAGACAGCAGAGAACCCACAAGCUUGAAGAGGCCUCCGGAGAGUUCACUCAGGAUAAACGGGGUGCUGGCAUCGUCCUGGUCCUCUCUGUACAGUAACAGUGUUACAGCCCGUAUCUUGGCAGAAUUGAUUUGGAUGGAUCAGAGUGAAUGGAGACCAGUUGAAGGAAGACUGGUUCAAUGGCUAGAGAAUAUGAAUGUUGGUCUUAAGUCCAAGGCCCAGAUGAUACCAAUAGCUUCAAGAAGAGGAAAAGACUCAGGCUACUGGUAACUCUGAGUCACAAACCUGGAACACU
rnacentral:lncRNA from 1 species